CACUUUGCUUAUACAGCCCUAGUCACACCUCCAUACAUGUGACCUACACAGCCUUUCUAAACACUUCCUGUAAAGAGUCAUCUAAUGUUUACACUUCCUUUAUUGGAAAUUCUGUUUAAUUUAGAAUUUCUUGUUUCUUGCUCUAUUAAUAGUGUGCUAGACCCUGAAGGAGCCUCCUGUAUGUAACUACAUUUUAGUUUACAGAACAGGAAACCAUUACUUUUAAAGUAAGUUACAUCUGAUGGAAAAUGAAACCAUUUUGUUGUUAU